AUGAAGAGGAAGAAUACUAGUACUACUGAUUUGAGAACUUUCUUGGAGAGAGUUGCUGCAAAAAAAGGGAGGUCUCUUCGGUAUGAGAUUGUUUACAAAUUUCUCAAAUUGGUGCUAGUUCAAUUAGCUGGUGGUGAGAGGGUCUUCUCAUCAAUGAACUAUAUAAAAAACAAGCUAAGAAGCAAGAUGGGGCAAAAAUACUUGAAUGAUUGCUUGGUCACAUUCAUUGAAAGGAGAUUUUUCUUGCAAGUUCAGGACAAGGACAUCAUCACUCAUUUUCAAAGCAUCAAGGAUCGCAAAGUUAUCCUCUAG
rnacentral:rRNA from 1 species